CGUACUGAGACACGGACCAGACUCCUACGGGAGGCAGCAGUGAGGAAUAUUGGACAAUGGGAGCAAUCCUGAUCCAGCCAUGCCGCGUGCAGGAAGACUGCCCUAUGGGUUGUAAACUGCUUUUAUACAGGAAGAAAAAGGUGUACGUGUACACUGUUGACGGUACUGUAAGAGUAAGGAUCGGCUAACUCCGUGCCAGCAGCCGCGGUAAUACGGAGGAUCCAAGCGUUAUCCGGAAUCAUUGGGUUUAAAGGGUCCGUAGGCGGGAUAAUAAGUCAGUGGUGAAAGCCUGCAGCUCAACUGUAGAAUUGCCAUUGAUACUGUUGUUCUUGAGUUAUUGUGAAGUGGUUAGAAUGAGUAGUGUAGCGGUGAAAUGCAUAGAUAUUACUCAGAAUACCGAUUGCGAAGGCAGAUCACUAACAAUACACUGACGCUGAUGGACGAAAGCGUAGGUAGCGAACAGGAUUAGAUACCCUGGUAGUCUACGCCGUAAACGAUGGUUACUAGCUGUUCGGGUUAAUUGAGACCUGAGUGGCUAAGCGAAAGUGAUAAGUAACCCACCUGGGGAGUACGUUCGCAAGAAUGAAACUCAAAGGAAUUGACGG
rnacentral:rRNA from 1 species